UUUAUACUCCCCCCGUCUCAAAAUUCUUGUCUUAUAUUUGUCUAGAUAUGAAUGUAUCUAAUAUUAAAACGUGACUUGAUACAUCCAUAUUUAGACAAAUCUAAGACAAGAAUUUUAGGACGGAGGGAGUAUUUU
rfam:Triticum aestivum genome assembly, contig: Triticum_aestivum_CS42_TGACv1_scaffold_112537_2AS